GCCUGGAUGAUCCUCAGUGGUCUGGGGUGCAGGCUUCAAACUUGUAGCUGUCUGGCAAUAAAGUGGUUCAAUUUCACCUUCUGGGC
rnacentral:tRNA from 1 species